rnacentral:rRNA from 1 species
GAUGAACGCUGGCGGCGUGCUUAACACAUGCAAGUCGAACGGAAAGGCCCAAGCUUGCUUGGGUACUCGAGUGGCGAACGGGUGAGUAACACGUGGGUGAUCUGCCCUGCACUUCGGGAUAAGCCUGGGAAACUGGGUCUAAUACCGGAUAGGACCACUUCUUGGAUGUUGUGGUGGAAAGUUUUUUCGGUGUGGGAUGAGCUCGCGGCCUAUCAGCUUGUUGGUGGGGUAAUGGCCUACCAAGGCGUCGACGGGUAGCCGGCCUGAGAGGGUGUACGGCCACAUUGGGACUGAGAUACGGCCCAGACUCCUACGGGAGGCAGCAGUGGGGAAUAUUGCACAAUGGGCGCAAGCCUGAUGCAGCGACGCCGCGUGGGGGAUGACGGCCUUCGGGUUGUAAACUCCUUUCGCUAGGGACGAAGCGUGUUUGUGACGGUACCUGGAGAAGAAGCACCGGCUAACUACGUG